GGAGAGAUGGGUGAGUGGCUGAAACCAACAGUUUGCUAAACUGUCGUAUCUGGAAACGGGUACCGGGGGUUCGAAUCCCCCUCUCUCCGCCA
rnacentral:tRNA from 1 species